rnacentral:rRNA from 2 species
GGGUGACCUGCGGAAGGAUCAUUA